AUGGCCGGCUCUCUGGAGGAACUGGUGUUAUCCAGCAACAAUUUCAGUGGGAAGAUACCGACGGGCUUGUUCCGGCAUGGAAAUCUCACUCUGCUGGACCUGAGCGACAACAACCUCACUGGUGAUGUGCCCGAUGAGUUCCUCAAGCUCCCCAACCUCCACACCCUGCUCCUCGCCGGCAACGAUCUCCGCGGCGCGAUACCCGGAAGCUUGUCGAGCGUGACAACAUUGUCUCGUUUCGCGGCUGGCCACAACAAGUUCAGUGGCUCCAUAUAUUUACCCUGGCAACUGGGCAAAUGCAGUAAGCUGCUUCUCUUGAAUCUUGCAAGCAAUGAGCUGAGCGGUGCGGUGCCCGCCGAGAUCGGCAAACUCGGUAGCCUGGCCGUUCUUAAGCUCCAAAUGAACAAUUUUGACGGCCAUAUACCAAGUGCACUUGCCGGUCUGGUGAACCUGAAUGAAUUGGACCUUAGCCAGAACUCAUUUGACGGAGAGAUACCACAUGAGAUUUUCCAGCUACCGCGGCUUUCAAACAUGUACUUGCAGGGGAACAAGAUCACCGGCGCCAUUCCGGCUUCGGUCAGCUCAGCGCAGUUUCUCAUCGAGCUUGAUCUCGGGGACAAUUCGCUCAGUGGUGUCAUCCCCACAAUGCCGAUCAGCUUGAGCACGGUCCUCAAUCUAAGUCACAACCAUCUCGGUGGCUCCAUCCCUUCGGACAUCGGAUCGUUGCUUUACCUCAAGGUCCUUGAUCUUUCCCACAACGAAUUGUUCGUCGUCGCUCAAAGGUUUGUUGAGCUUGACACGUUUGGUGAUUUCCUAUAA
rnacentral:rRNA from 1 species